rnacentral:tRNA from 1 species
UCCCAUGUGGCUCAGUUGGUAGAGCAUGGUGUUUGCAACGCCAGGGUUGUGGGUUUGAUUCCCGCGGGGGAC